AUGAUACUAGAAAGGAGGUUGAGAUUACACCAAAAAAGAGAAGAUUGAUACCAGAAAGGAGAAGGUUGAGAGGAUACCAGAAAGGAGAAGGUUGAGAGGAUACCAGAAAGGAAAAGGUUGAGAUGAGGUUGAGGAUACCAGAAAAGAGAAGAUUGAUACCAGAAAGGAGAAGGUUGAGAGGAUACCAGAAAGGAAAAGGUUGAGAUGAGGUUGAGGAUACCAGAAAAGAGAAGAUUGAUACCAGAAAGGAGAAGGUUGAGAUGAUACCAGAAAGGAGAAGGUUGAGAUGAGGUUGAGGAUACCAGAAAAGAAAAGAUUGAUACAAGAAAGGAGAAGGUUGAGAGGAUACCAGAAAGGAGAAGGUUGAGAGGAUACCAGAAAGGAAAAGGUUGAGAUGAGGUUGAGGAUACCAGAAAAGAAAAGAUUGAUACCAGAAAGGAGAAGGUGGAGAGGAUACCAGAAAGGAAAAGGUUGAGAUGAGGUUGAGGAUACCAGAAAAGAAGAUUGAUACCAGAAAAGAGAAGAUUGACAGGAUACCAGAAAGGAAAAGGUUGAGAUGAGGUUGA